CAAAAAAAAAAAAGUCAUGCCCAAUCAGAUUAUGACUGACGGGCAGAUAGAAAGAGCUCAAUCCAACCAUGAGGCUUGAAAAUUAAAUUUUCCUUUUCCAAGUGAAAUUAACAUAAUAUUUCAAUAGCAACAGAAAUUAACAGUUUGGAACAAAAAUUGACACAAGUAAGAAGCAGCCUCAUGUCGAGGCAUUCUGAAAGCAUAAACAAGUCUGAAGUUUCAAAAACUGAAACCACCUAAAAUUAACAAGUCAAUAACACGAAGGGGAAAUGUUAAUCAUUGGAAAGGCAAUUUGCAAACACUACUAUCAUUAUAUCAAGUGUAAUAAUGCAUGCCUCAAGUUCAAAACAAGAAAAUUAUAACCUAUGACUGAAUAUUGAUUAAUGACUAUUACUGUAGCUACUUUUGAACUGCAAAAACCGUGUUUCUAAUUUUUUAUGAUUUCUCUUCUAAAAUUGUG
rnacentral:misc_RNA from 1 species